rnacentral:lncRNA from 1 species
CACAUAACCAAAAACUCAAAGCCUUAAUUUACCGAAACGAUAACCGAAUAGUGUGAUGACGACUCCAACGACUUCCAACCGAGUAAGUCUUUGGAACUCUAAAAAGUAUACGAAAAAAAAACACACAGAGUAAGCUAUUACAGCUUAGUAAGUCAUGAGCAAUUAAAUAACUUAACAACAUUUAAUUAGUUACAACAAAAUCAAAUAAUGUUUUCAAUAUUCAUAUCCAUUUCCAUAAUCGAAAAAUACAUUUAUCAAACAUAUACUAUACAUCAAAUCCAUAUUUAACCGAAUACACAUAAGUUUAACAUUUGGCCGAAUAUAUAUAAUGUCAUUCACAUGUGCAACUCUCAUUUUUAACCUUAUUAUUACAUUUCUAUUUUGACCGAAUAUAAACUACAUUAUCAACUCAUUUUUAACCAAAUUAAAUUAUACUAGCAUAAUCACAUUUAACCUCAAGCUUAACGUUUCAUAUAAAACAUGUGUUUUCUUAAAUAAAUCGUAUCUUAACCGAAUGUACAUGUAUAUAUAUUCAAAGUGUCAUUCAAUUCAAAGACAUAAUAUCAUUAUAUAUUUGAAUAUAUAUUUACACACAUAUACAUAUAACUUUGAACCAAAAUAUAACAUCAUAUGCAUAUACAUAACACAUGGCCGAAUAUACUUCACCAAUGUACAUAUGUUCACAUUAGUAACUUAUAUAAUUUAUAUCACAUACCAACUGGCCAACUUACCGUAUUUUUAAAUAGGUAGUCAAGUAACUCAUACCUGAUCAUUUUAGCUCGUUUUACACCUUUAAUCACAACUUAUUAUUGCCCGCUGAACCAUUCGGAAUUUAAUAGGAUACUCGAAUAAUCACAUAUAUCGAACAAUGCCAACGUCCCAGACGUGGUCUUACAUGCUAUAUCAUAUCGAUGCCACUGUCCCAGACAGGGUCUUACACGAAUCAAAUACGAUGCCAAUGUCCUAGACAUGGUCUUACACGUAAUCACAUAUAUCGAUGCCAUCGUCCCAGACGUGGUCUUACACGAGAACACAUAUUGGAAAUCCUAUGUCAUGACAUAUGUAUCCUAGCUAUUCCUAAGGUUCGUACGGGCCUUUCGGACAUCGUAACUCUGUCGAAACGAAUUCAUAAACAUAGCUUCCAAGCUUAUUUUCAUUUGAUUAACACAUGUAUAAUUUCACAUAUUUCCUUUCAGCAUAUAAAAUCAUAUUUAAUUAAAAUAAACAGUAUAUAUAGAUGCUUAUAGACUUACCUCGGAUAUCGACGGGUAUAUAAAACGACUAUUCAACUACUAUUUUUUUCCCCAGAUCCAAGUCUGAUUUCUUUUGUUCUUGAUCUAUACAAUUUCAAAUUAAGCUUAUUUAAACAUAAUUUCAUUCAAUUUAAUCCAAAAAACACAUAAAUGAGAAAAUUACUAUUUUACCCCUGACAUUUUAUACUUUUUACAAUUUAGUCCAAUUUGCAUAAAACACAAAACAUACAAAAUUUACACAUACCAAGCUUUGGCCGAAUAUUCAUUAUGCCUAUGCAAGCUCACAAAAUUCAUUUAUUUUACAUUUUAGUCCCUCAAUUUAUUAUUUUUUCAAUUUAGCCCUAAUUACUCAAAUUCAUCAAAAUUUCCAAUACAAAACAUACUAACCCAAAACAUAUCUUCAAUAAUUCAUCAUCAAACAUCACAAAACACAAUUAUUCAUCAAUGGAAUAACUCAAAAUAUUCAUCAGAAUCAAAAAUUGAAGCAUGGGUCGGGUAGUAUUCGAAGCAAAGAUCUCAAAAACAUAAAAAUCAUCAAAAACCGAAACCGAAACAUACCUUAAUUUGCUUGAACAAGGGCCGAAUACCUAGCUUGGUUUUCUUAUUUUCUUUCUCUUUUCAUUCGGCACAAAUAUAAUGAAAAU